GGCGGACGGGUGAGUAACGCGUGAGCAAUUUGCCUUAGGGUGGGGGGAUAACAGCGGGAAACCGUUGCUAAUACCGCAUACGACAGCAGGAGGGCAUCCCCUUGCUGUGAAAGGAGCAAUCCGCCCUUAGAUGAGCUCGCGUCCCAUUAGGUAGUUGGUGAGGUAACGGCUCACCAAGCCGACGAUGGGUAGCCGGACUGAGAGGUUGGCCGGCCACACUGGAACUGAGACACGGUCCAGACUCCUACGGGAGGCAGCAGUGAAGAAUAUUGGGCAAUGGGGGAAACCCUGACCCAGCAACGCCGCGUGAGGGAAGAAGGUUUUCGGAUUGUAAACCUCUGUCCCAUGGGACGAAACAAAUGACGGUACCAUGGGAGGAAGCCCCGGCUAACUACGUGCCAGCAGCCGCGGUAAUACGUAGGGGGCAAGCGUUGUCCGGAAUUAUUGGGCGUAAAGGGUGCGUAGGCGGCCCUGCAAGUUGGAUGUGAAAUCCCCGUGCUUAACAUGGGAAUUGCAUGCAAAACUGUGGGGCUUGAGUGUGGAAGAGGUAAGUGGAAUUCCCAGUGUAGCGGUGAAAUGCGUAGAUAUUGGGAGGAACACCAGUGGCGAAGGCGACUUACUGGGCCACAACUGACGCUGAUGCACGAAAGCGUGGGGAGCGAACAGGAUUAGAUACCCUGGUAGUCCACGC
rnacentral:rRNA from 1 species